GAACUCCUUUUACUUCUGUCUCCAGGUUAGAAUUGGCCCAAGAGGAACUUGCCUUAGAUUCCAGAGAACACAGUCAUCACUCUUGAGCAUCCUUUCAUCAGAUACAGUGAUGGUGUUUGUCUUGCUCCAGUGUGGCCUCUUCUUCCUCCACUUAGCAUUGGUCCAUCCUCCUGACAACCAGCUCUGUUGACUAGCAGCCGCCCGGGCUUGGUUGUAGUCCCUCUGAGGGGCCAUUUGAACACUAAACAGAUGAAGGCUGUCUGCUGAUUAGAAAGGCAUUUUGUUUUGACCCCAACUGUCUGAUACAAGAUGGAUAAUCACAUGAAGAACUCUUUGGUCUGUAG
rnacentral:lncRNA from 1 species